CCUGCGCCAGCGAUUGUAGCGGAAAUCCUUUCCCAAUGAAAUCCAUUUUCAUUUGCAAAAACAAAUUGGGAAAGAUUGGAGCGAAAAGCGCGGUCGGUU
rnacentral:sRNA from 1 species